UGUGGAUACAGUCGCCAUGGUGAACGCGUCGUCGAGUACACUAGUCAAAAGAAUCGUACUCAAGCCAAGAAGAGGGUAGUUGGUGAAUAGCCCACCCUGACGACACAAAACAAGAAGUCUAAGAACAUUAUGAGACGAUUGUGUCAAGGAAAUCCUAGAAGACUACAGGAAGAUUCCACCCAAACACAAACGCAGAGAUCCCAAAGAUGACAAUGACAUUGACAGGACAAAUUUCAUAUAGUUGCAUCUUGUGCAGAAAAUACUGCCACUCAAGAGAAAUUGAAUUACUUCUUAAAGGUCCUUCAACUCAAGAUCGUAAAGGAAAGCAAAUUGGGAAAUUGCAGCAUCCCUCCGUCCCUAAAAAAAAAAGAAACUUUCCUAGAGCUAUGAAACACUCAUAACUUUGUAUUGGCCUGGUGCCAUGACCUACUGCAAAAGCUUUACAAGAGCUCACUCAAACAUAGCGCUCAUUACUACAAGCAACAUGUACCACAGAUACUAAUUCCGUCACCGUCACUUAAUCUUCGUUCCAUCUCACCUACACUACCCGAACACGACAUGAAUCAAACAGAAACACAGUAACAUAGUCUCCCUACCUGACAA